CAGGGCCAAUGCUUGACAUUCAUGAAUGCACGAAUGUUGUACUGGAUGCAGAAGAUGGACUCUCUGAAAGAUCUCAAAGCCAGCAAUGUCCAGAACACCAAUGAAGUACUGUCUGGGUUGUUUGGUAUCCAGCUGCUGGUUGAUGCGAACAACCAUCCACAAGAACAUCCUUUCAUAGACUGCCUUUGCAAGAGCACCUACAGCAUUGUGCACCUAAAGCACAGGGAGAUGUCUGGAGUUACCAAAGAGAGUGGAGAUCUGGCAAGGAAGAGAGAAGGAGUUACACACAAGACAGUGCACAGUGCACAGAGGUGGAAAUGUGGGAAGAAAUGUUAUCAGGCAAGGAAGCUCUCAUACAUGUUUCAAUGUCAGCAGAAGCCAG